AAUUUAGAUGCUGGCAAUUAUAGCCUUCGAACCAGGUCAGGACUGAAAAGUAGCAGCCUUAAGGAGUAACUAUAAUGUGCUGGCUAUUUUAAUAGA
rnacentral:SRP_RNA from 1 species